rnacentral:tRNA from 1 species
GGCCGCAUCCGGAAACGGUAGGUAAGCCCCCUCCUAAGGGGAAGGUCGCCCGUUCGAAUCGGGCCGGGGUCACCA